CGGAAUCCCAUAUCCAUAGUCCCAAUGUAAAUAGGCAGCCACAACAAUAAGAUAUUCAACAAUGAAGUUCAAAGAAAUACAAGAUAGCAGGUAAUUCUAGCCUGAUAUGCUUUACGUAGUACAAACAAAGGAACUUAAGCAAAUAGGCAACUUAGAUCAACUAAACAUGCUUUUCUAAACUAACACAGGCUACAAUUUGCAAACAAAAUAAAGCAGGUAAGAAAGAAACCCCAUCUAAAUAUUUAAGUAAAACCUGAUUUUCUACAAUUAGCUCAAGUACGCACUCGUAACCUCACGUACAGCGCAUUCAAUCACCAAACAUCGUAUCCUAAGGGGAAAGUCCCCCAC
rnacentral:lncRNA from 1 species